GACGAACGUUGGCGGCGUGGAUUAGGCAUGCAAGUCGAGCGAGAACCCAGCAAUGGGGGACAGCGGCGCAAGGGACAGUAAUGUGUAGAUUAUCUGCCCUCGGGUCCGGGAUAGCUGCGGGAAACUGCAGGUAAUACCGGAUAACAUCUCCGGAUCAAAGGUGUGAUUCCGCCCGAGGAUGAGUCUGCAUCCUAUUAGCUAGUUGGCAGGGUAAUGGCCUACCAAGGCGAUGAUGGGUAGCGGGUGUGAGAGCACGACCCGCGUCAUUGGGACUGAGACACUGCCCAGACACCUACGGGUGGCUGCAGUCGAGAAUCUUCGGCAAUGGGCGCAAGCCUGACCGAGCGACGCCGCGUGUGGGAUGAAGGCCUUCGGGUUGUAAACCACUGUCAGAGGGGAUGAAAUGCAGGUGGGUUCUCCCAUCUGUUUGACAUAGCCUCAGAGGAAGGACGGGCUAAGUUCGUGCCAGCAGCCGCCGUAAUAC
rnacentral:rRNA from 1 species